GCAGUCGUGGCUGAGUGGUUAAGGUGAUGGACUAGAAAUCCAUUGAGGUCUCCCCGCACAGGUUCGAAUCCUGUCGACUGCG
rnacentral:tRNA from 2 species